GACGAACCGGCCAAACGUUAUUCGGUAUCACUGGGCUUAAAGAGUUCGUAGGCGGCAAUGUAGGUCAGGUGUGAAAUCCCACAGCUCAACUGUGGAACUGCGCUUGAAACCAAAUGGCUUGAGGGAGAUAGAGGUGAGUGGAACUGAUGGUGGAGCGGUGAAAUGCGUUGAUAUCAGCAGGAACACCGGUGGCGAAAGCGGCUCACUGGAUCUCUUCUGACGCUGAGGAACGAAAGCUAGGGUAGCGAACGGG
rnacentral:misc_RNA from 1 species